CUGCGGCAGGCCUAACACAUGCAAGUCGAGCGGAUGAGUGGAGCUUGCUCCAUGAUUCAGCGGCGGACGGGUGAGUAAUGCCUAGGAAUCUGCCUGGUAUGGGGGGACAACGUUUCGAAAGGAACGCUAAUACCGCAUACGUCCUACGGGAGAAAGCAGGGGACCUUCGGGCCUUGCGCUAUCAGAUGAGCCUAGGUCGGAUUAGCUAGUAGGUGAGGUAAUGGCUCACCUAGGCGACGAUCCGUAACUGGUCUGAGAGGAUGAUCAGUCACACUGGAACUGAGACACGGUCCAGACUCCUACGGGAGGCAGCAGUGGGGAAUAUUGGACAAUGGGCGAAAGCCUGAUCCAGCCAUGCCGCGUGUGUGAAGAAGGUCUUCGGAUUGUAAAGCACUUUAAGUUGGGAGGAAGGGCAGUAAGUUAAUACCUUGCUGUUUUGACGUUACCAACAGAAUAAGCACCGGCUAACUUCGUG
rnacentral:rRNA from 1 species